rnacentral:tRNA from 1 species
ACUGAAAUAGCUCAGUUGGUAGGGCGUCCGAUUAUAAAUCGAAAGGUCCUUGGUUCGAUCUCCGGUUCCGGCA